rnacentral:rRNA from 1 species
AGCAACGCCGCGUGAGUGAAGAAGGUCUUCGGAUCGUAAAGCUCUGUUGUUGGUGAAGAAGGAUAGAGGCAGUAACUGGUCUUUAUUUGACGGUAAUCAACCAGAAAGUCACGGCUAACUACGUGCCAGCAGCCGCGGUAAUACGUAGGUGGCAAGCGUUGUCCGGAUUUAUUGGGCGUAAAGCGAGCGCAGGCGGAAUGAUAAGUCUGAUGUGAAAGCCCACGGCUCAACCGUGGAACUGCAUCGGAAACUGUCAUUCUUGAGUGCAGAAGAGGAGAGUGGAACUCCAUGUGUAGCGGUGGAAUGCGUAGAUAUAUGGAAGAA